GACGAACGCUGGCGGCGUGCCUAAUACAUGCAAGUAGAACGCACAGUUUAUACCGUAGCUUGCUACACCAUAAACUGUGAGUUGCGAACGGGUGAGUAACGCGUAGGUAACCUGCCUGGUAGCGGGGGAUAACUAUUGGAAACGAUAGCUAAUACCGCAUAAUAUUGAUUAUUGCAUGAUAAUUGAUUGAAAGAUGCUAUUGCAUCACUACCAGAUGGACCUGCGUUGUAUUAGCUAGUAGGUGAGGUAACGGCUCACCUAGGCGACGAUACAUAGCCGACCUGAGAGGGUGAUCGGCCACACUGGGACUGAGACACGGCCCAGACUCCUACGGGAGGCAGCAGUAGGGAAUCUUCGGCAAUGGACGAAAGUCUGGCCGAGCAACGCCGCGUGAGUGAAGAAGGUUUUCGGAUCGUAAAGCUCUGUUGUAAGAGAAGAACGGGUGUGAGAGUGGAAAGUUCACACUGUGACGGUAUCUUACCAGAAAGGGACGGCUAACUACGU
rnacentral:rRNA from 1 species